CGUUGACAGUUUAUCAGACAAGAAGUCAUUUGACCACCUCAAAUCUAUCAGACAGCGAUGACCUGUUUGCUUUGGCUUUCUCCGCUGUUGAUACACGUCUACAUGAUAGGGGCCAUAAGAGAAGAAGUAAAGUGCAUAUCACAGCCAAGCAGACAGAAUUGGAAAAAAGUAGGGCAAACUACUGUUCUUUCAUGCACAGUCAACCAUCACUGUCGGACCGCAGGCUUGCACUACGACUGGUUCGUAUUCAAAGAAAAUGCCCAUCUUCGUAUCAACCAAUCGAGUGACAAGUACAGAUUGGAUGGAGCAUCUUUACACAUAAAGUCACUUCAUACCAAUGACAGUGGAGUGUACCACUGUGCUGCAGCACCUCCUCGAGCCUCAGGAUGCUGCACACAGUACGUUGGGCAAGGGGAAACACUUACAGUUAGAGAUGUUAAAAUAAUGGUGAGGUACAUUCUUGUGGUAUUAUCUAUGGUUCUGUUGGCCAUCUACAGCAUAGGGAUACUGACACUUUUCAUUCUGAAGAAGUGUGGAUGCCGAGCAAGUUUCUGCAGAAAGAUGCCCAAAUCACCAGAGAACAGGAAAACUAGUUUCAGCAAAGUGUUGGAAGAAAUGGACAGGAAAAGAAACCGGAAGGAAAACAAUGACAGACAAAGUGAAAAUUGUUCUGAAGUUGAGGCAACACACGAUGGUUUGGAAAACUUCAAUGAUGACGUCUAUCAAAACAUCUGAGAGUCGUUUACAGGAUGUUAUUUCACAGUCGCAACUGGAAAAGAACUACCAGCCAAUUCCACUUUUACACGACGAUGUUUUUAAGUGACAAGAGAAAUUAACUCAUUUUAAGGAACCAAAGCUCAACCUUUAGUAUUUUACGACUGACUGCAGUUUCUGUCAGUGACGUAACAUUAACUCCACUUAUCACAAGCGUUCCUAGUAUUUUGUGUUAGUAAUGAUG
rnacentral:lncRNA from 1 species